UACGGAGGGGGCUAGCGUUGUUCGGAAUUACUGGGCGUAAAGCGCACGUAGGCGGCUUUGCAAGUCAGAGGUGAAAGCCCGGGGCUCAACCCCGGAAUUGCCUUUGAGACUGCAUCGCUAGGAUUGUGGAGAGGUAAGUGGAAUUCCGAGUGUAGAGGUGAAAUUCGUAGAUAUUCGGAAGAACACCAGUGGCGAAGGCGACUUACUGGACACAUAUUGACGCUGAGGUGCGAAAGCGUGGGGAGCAAACAGG
rnacentral:rRNA from 1 species